AUGGAGUCCCCGGUCUCCACCCCAGCGGUGCUGCCGCUGCACCUGUUAGUGCCGGUGGUCAAUAACGACAUCUCAUCUCCCUGUGAGCAGAUCAUGGUCCGUACCCGAUCAGUUGGAGUCAACACAUGCGAUGUGGCUCUAGCCACAGAGCCUGAGUGCUUAGGCCCCUGUGAGCCUGGAACCAGUGUCAACCUUGAAGGCAUCGUGUGGCAGGAAACAGAAGAUGGUAAGUCCAUCAUACCUUCUCAGUUGCCUCUGCAGAAGAGUCCCUAGAGGAUUAGUGGUAUAAAUAUUGCCACCAAAAGAUGGGAACGGGCUGGAGAGAUGACUCAGCGGUUAAGAGCAUUAACUGCUCUUCCAGAGGUCAUGAGUUCAAUUCCCAGCCACCACAUGGUGGCUCACAACCAUCUGUAAUGAGAUCUGGUGCCCUCUUCUGGCCCGCAGUCACAUAUGCAGGCAGAAUGCUGUACAUAAAAUAAAUAAAUAAUCUUUAAAAAAAGAUGGGAACAAUGCCAAGCACCUGUAAGAGUAUUCAUUGUCCCCUCUUCUUGGCCAUGCCCACACAAAGGGUGGAAAGAGAGGUGACACACUUUUUAAUAUUCUUACCCUUUCUAGAGAUGUUUGCUGUAGUUCUGGAAAUUGUAAGUAGGCUCAUGCUCCAGCCUUGUAUACAUCCUUCCUUCUA
rnacentral:lncRNA from 1 species